UACAUUAAAGAACAAUCAUCAAGCCAGGCUCCUUAUCACUAUUUCCACCGACUUGAAUGCCCGUUAUCAAGCUCUGCUCCGGGAAAGACACACAAGACUAGAGUCCUAAUAAGUACUUUAUAGUAUUUUUUAUGGUUUAUAGUUUAUAGUUUAUAGAGCUAGCAGCUGCCGUGAUUGUCGGCUUAUCAAAAUCCAACGCUUUCCAGUAUUCACCGACAUUUCCAACUGGACCUUGGGCACUCUACUUGUGUUCUUAGUUUUGGCAUUAAGGCAGGCUUACUACACAAGCCCACAGAUAACCCCAUAGACAUAUGAAGCUGUGUACAUUAAUUGAAACUUUAAUUGGUUAUAGCUUAGGUUUUAGAUUAUGAUACACUACAAACACCUGGAGAAAACCUUUCCCUGUGACUCAUCAAUUAUCUCAUUGCUUAAAUAAUCAUCAUGGGAAUCCUUUAUGGUGGCUCAACACUGCCAUAUGCUAAUAUGGGUGGUAAAGUAAAACCCAUCGCGACAACCAGCGAUACGAAGUGCCAGCACACUCGGUUAUUUGCCCAUGUCAGAUGUCCCAGAUUUUAUGGAGAUCACCUGAGAGAGCCGGGCUCUUUUACUGAUAUCUCAACGUCAACGUGACAAUUGUGCGUUGAGUGGCCUCUCCACGCGGCACUUAAGUCGCCCCAUCGGACUUAUCUCAAGUGACUUAAUAGAUCCAAUUUAGUGGCUUUGAUUAAACGCGAAAUGCCAGCGAAACAAAAAGCGAAAGUAAUGUCCACCACACGACAGGGCAUCGAAAUGUGUCGUGAGGAGUCUUGAACUUGUGCCACUUGAACUUGCCACUUGAUGUGGACAGGUCAGGGGCUUCCAAUAAUCGUCACUCUCCAAUGGAUUACACAUUCGCUGAACUAUAGGGUGUUUUUCCUUUAAAAGUACUUAGAGAGCUAUCGGCUUGGAAAUUUAUAAAAUAAUUUUAAAUGUCAAGGUUUUGUAAAUUCCUGCAAUUUAAUAUGCAUUAAAAAGUAGCUUUUUCUUUAUCCAAAUGGUUCUUCUUUGUACUUUUUCUAAAUAUAAAUGCUCUUUAAUGAAUUCUACACAGAUCCAUUUAUAGUCUUUUGAGUGUUCAACAAUUAUGCACUGGCAGUGACUAAUUAGCAAUAGUCCGGCUCGCCGGCCCCUUGAAAUUAGUGCAGGAUGUUUGUGAUUUUCGUGUUUUGCUUGCCGUUCGUCUGCGGCGGCAACGCGGCGUAUGCGCGAUAAUUAAACACACGACUUGCAUGGGGCCGCCGUCGAAGGUCCAAAAGCGGGAAUUUCGUUGGAUCCACUGAGGCAACUGCUGCCUCAGCCAUUGCUGGCUGUUUGGGUCAAGCUCAUUCUCAUUUAAAUCUGCUGGCUAAAUAGACGACCCACUGGGCGGCUCAUUGCGCCCAGCAAGACUUCCUCGUUUUGGGGGUUUCAGAGAUUGAUAGAGGGAUGCUUGUAAAUUGAGAUCAGGGAUCUGUCGGAAUCGUGGAAUUGGGGAAUUGGGGAAUCAGGGGGCUUGGAAAUUUUCAAGUUCAAACUCCCCAAGUGGGCCAAGUGACGUGCCGAUGCCAUGCAAAUGCACAUUGUACUCCAAUUAUGCGAGAUAAUUGACAAAGAACGGGUGACAAUUCAAAUGCAAAAUUGUACGCUGUGACUGAUUCUUAAUUUUCGCAAUGUUCUUGACAAGUCCCAGCCCCCAACUUACAAGUUACUGGACUGCCAGCUAAUUAGUUUAGCCAACACAAACGAGCUGCAAAUAUUACCCGAACUAUAUCUGUUUCUGUGCAAAGAUAUAUUAUAUAGAUAACUAGAUAAGGUCCGCCAAACAAUCAAAUCCCACGAAAUGCCGCCUUUUAUUUGGAUAUCGUGCGAUAAUGGCCAGGUUUCAUCUUCUUACAGCUCGCCUUUUGUUCAGUACGAGUAUUUGCUCCACACAUUAUCAGCUCCUAAGUGCUCGUUUUAUUUCUACUGUUUUUUUUCUUAAGUUGAAUAAUCGCAGCUGAUCGAGCUAAUUUAUAAGUUUGACGGCCACACAAUUACUUGGAGAUUGAACAAACAUUUUUGUAUAUUCUAGCGACUUUUCUCCAUAACACUUCGAGUUUACACUUAGAUAUGGUAAAAAGGUAUUCUAGAGAAUUUAAAAUUAAAAUAUUCAUUUUCAUUUUAACAGUAACGACUUUGUGUCUCAGAAUAAUAUUUUGGCAUUAAAUUUAUGUACUUUGUUCAACGAAAAAUUCCUAGAACAACACUGCGUAUGAGUAUUUAAACUUCACUCUUGUUUUUUAAGUAGUAUACAGUUUUUGUUAAAAAAUUGGAAUAAAGAAGCUGCAUAAAUGAA